rnacentral:rRNA from 1 species
AUGAGCACGAAAUUGCUCAACAGCUUGAGCCUGACGAGGCUCUUAGGACUGCGAAGAAACCCAAUUGACUUAUACACAGCAUCGCGAGCAUGGAUCUCUAGCACAUCAUUUUCUGGUGUUCAUGAGAAGAAUGGCAUGGGCGUCGAGGCAGAUGGUGAUCUUGCAGAUUCUUGGAAAGAUGCUGACUUCCGUGGUGUUUAUCGGGCCAUUAUUUGUGGCAGCGUUGGACAAGUGCCUGUGCAGAAAAAAUUGAGGAACGGGCAUACUGUGACUGUAUUUACUGUCGGGACUGGGGGCAUGUUUGACCAGAGGAGAGUAGGUGCUGAAAACUUGCCAAUGCCAGCUCAGUGGCAUCGCAUAGCUGUUCAUAAUGCGCAGCUUGGUGCAUAUGCUGUUCAAAAGUUGGUUAAGAAUGCUGCAGUGUAUGUUGAGGGUGAGAUUGAGACUAGAGUCUACAAUGAUGACAUCAAUAAUCUAGUGAAAAUCGUACCUGAGAUCUGUGUGCGGUAUGAUGGCAAGAUACACUUGGUUCAAUCUGGGGGCAGUGAUGUCAGCAAAUCAUUGGAAGAGUUAAGGGAGGGGCUAUUUUAG